GCAAGUCGAGCGGUAACAGAAAAGAAGCUUGCUUCUUUUGCUGACGAGCGGCGGACGGGUGAGUAAUGCCUGGGAAUAUACCCUGAUGUGGGGGAUAACUAUUGGAAACGAUAGCUAAUACCGCAUAAUCUCUUCGGAGCAAAGAGGGGGACCUUCGGGCCUCUCGCGUCAGGAUUAGCCCAGGUGGGAUUAGCUAGUUGGUGGGGUAAUGGCUCACCAAGGCGACGAUCCCUAGCUGGUCUGAGAGGAUGAUCAGCCACACUGGAACUGAGACACGGUCCAGACUCCUACGGGAGGCAGCAGUGGGGAAUAUUGCACAAUGGGGGAAACCCUGAUGCAGCCAUGCCGCGUGUAUGAAGAAGGCCUUCGGGUUGUAAAGUACUUUCAGUUGUGAGGAAGGCAGUUAAGUUAAUAGCUUGGCUGUUUGACGUUAGCAACAGAAGAAGCACCGGCUAACUCCGUGCCAGCAGCCGCGGUAAUACGGAGGGUGCGAGCGUUAAUCGGAAUUACUGGGCGUAAAGCGCAUGCAGGCGGUCUGUUAAGCAAGAUGUGAAAGCC
rnacentral:rRNA from 1 species